UGGGGGAUAUUGCACAAUGGGCGAAAGCCUGAUGCAGCGACGCCGCGUGGGGGAUGAAGGCCUUCGGGUUGUAAACUUCUUUUGCUCUGAACAAGGCGCACCAUGGGGUGUGUUGAGUGUAGGGGUUGAUUAGCGCCGGCUAACUACGUGCCAGCAGCCGCGGUAAUACGUAGGGCGCGAGCGUUGUCCGGAAUUAUUGGGCGUAAAGGGCUUGUAGGUGGCUGGUUGCGUCUGUCGUGAAAGCUCAUGGCUUAACUGUGGGUUUGCGGUGGGUACGGGCUGGCUUGAGUGCAGUAGGGGAGGAUGGAAUUCCUGGUGUAGCGGUGGAAUGCGCAGAUAUCAGGAGGAAUACCGGUGGAGAAGGCGGGUCUCUGGGCUGUUACUGACACUGAGGAGCGAAAGCAUGGGGAGCGAACAGG
rnacentral:rRNA from 1 species